rnacentral:misc_RNA from 1 species
GUGAAUCAUCGAAUCUUUGAACGCAAAUUGCACUCCCUGGUAUUCCGGGGAGUAUGCCUGUUUGAGGGUCGUUAGAAUCAUAAAUCGUGGCGUCGCUCUUUUCUUUUAGGGUGCUUGCGUCGGUAUUGUGUCGUUUUUAAAAUGUUCAUUCAUGUUAUUGUGGCUUAAAAUUCAUCCCACCGGUACGAUCUAAGCCUAUAU